GAUGAACGCUAGCGGCAGGCCUAAUACAUGCAAGUCGAACGGUAAGUAUGAUAGCAAUAUUGUACCAAGAGUGACGUACGGGUGCGUAACACGUAUGCAACCUACCCUUUACAGAUGGAUAGCUCGGGGAACUCGAAUUAACCCGUCAUAGUAUAGUUGAAUGGCAUCAUUUAAUUAAUUAAACUAGAGGUGGUAAAGGAGUGGGCGAUGCGUCUGAUUAGUUAGGGUCGGGG
rnacentral:rRNA from 1 species